GAAGAGGUGAGCCCUGCUCUUGAGCUGAUCCACAAGAUGAAAGGUGAUAAGCUGCAUGAAUCCCCUCAUGCUGUGGGCGCCCAGAGUCAUGAGCGUCGCUAGGAGAUGACCCUGAGUGACAGUGCCACCAAUGUGCUGGAGUGGAAUCGUGCUUUCACAGAGGCCUACACUGAGGCGAUGUGGAUGUGCAAAAGCCGCCCACAUGCUGCUGAACUGUGAGGAAAAGCCUGCCCCGCAGGGCCCAUUGGAAAUCCCUGAUGCCCAGACCCGGAGAGAUGCUUAGCACAUGCAUCACCAUGUGACCCCUGGCCUUUCCAGGAGUUGGAGGCUGCAGUGAGCUUUGAUUGAUCAUGUCGCUGCACUAAUCAGCCUGAGGGCAGAAUAAGACUGUCUUGCCUGGUGUGAUUCCAUCCUGCGCGGCUGUUCUUUGGAGCAGUAGUCGUUUGCCUCCGUCCCCCUUCUCUCCCACCUAAGUGUGCGCCACCACCCCAUGGAAGAUUCGAUGGACAUGGACAUGAGCCCCCUGAGGCCCCAGAACUAUCUUUUUGGUUGUGAACUAAAGGCCGACAAAGAUUAUCACUUUAAGGUGGAUAAUGAUGAAAAUGAGUACCAGUUAUCUUUAAGAACGGUCAGUUUAGGGGCCGGUGCAAAGGAUGAAUUGCACAUUGUUGAAGUAGAGGCAAUGAAUUAUGAAGGCAGCCCAAUAAAAGUAACACUGGCAACUUUGAAAAUGUCUGUGCAAGCCAACAGUUUCCCUUGGGGGCUUUGAAAUAACACCACCCGUGGUCUUACGGUUGAAGUGUGGUUCAGGGCCUGUGCAUAUUAGUGGAUAGCACUUAGUAGUUGUGGAAGAAGAUGCAGAGUCAGAAGAUGAAGAGGAUGAGGAUGUAAAACUCUUAAGUAUAUCUGGAAAGAGAUCUACUCCUGGAGGUGGUAGCAAGGUUCCUCAGAAAAAAAUAAAGCUUGCUGCUGAUGAAGAAGAUGAUGAUGAUGAUGAAGAUGAUGAUGAUGAUUUUGAUGAUGAGGAAACUGAAGAAAAAGCUCCAGUGAAGAAAUCUGUACGAGAUACUCCAGCCAAAAAUGCACAGAAAUCAAACCAGAAUGGAAAAGACUCAAAACCAUCAACACCAAGAUCAAAAGGUCAAGAAUCCAUCAAAAAACAGGAAAAAACUCCUAAAACACCAAAAGGACCUAGCUCUGUAGAAGACAUUAAGGCAAAAAUGCAAGCAAGUAUAGAAAAAGGUGCUUCUCUUCCCAAGGUGGAAGCCAAGUUCAUCAAUUAUGUGAAGAAUUGCUUUCGGAUGACUGACCAGGAGGCUAUUCAAGAUCUCUAGCAGUGGAGGAAAUCUCUUUAAGAAAAUAGUUUAAACAGUUUGUUAAAAGUUUUCUGUCUUAUUUCAUUUCUGUAACAGUUACUAUCUGGCUGUCCAUUUUAUAAUGCAGAGUGAGAUACCGUGUUUGAUAAAUGUUGUCCAGGUUCCAUUGCCAAGAAUGUGUUGUCCAAAAUGCCUGUUUAGUUUUUAAAGAUGGAACUCCACCCUUUGCUUGGUUUUAAGUAUGUAUGGAAUGUUAUGAUAGGGCAUAGUAGUAGUGGUGGUCAGACAUGGAAAUGGUGGGGAGACAAAAAUAUACAUGUGAAAUAAACAGUAUUUUAAUAAAGUAAAAAAAAAAAAA